rnacentral:sRNA from 1 species
CCUAGUAAGCGUGAGUCAUCAGCUCAUGUUGAUUACGUCCCUGCCCUUUGUACACACCGCCCGUCGCUACUACCGAUUGAAUGGCUUAGUGAGACUCUCGGAUCGGGUUUUGGGAACCGGCAACGGAUCCUUUCUUCUGAGAAGUUUGUCAAACUUGGUCAUUUAGAGGAAGUAAAAGUCGUAACAAGGUUUCCGUAGGUGAACCUGCGGAAGGAUCAUUAGAAUAUUCGGGAAUUUUUUCCCUAAAUAUCUUAUUCAAAAAAUUUCCAUCCUAUUAAAAAUAUAAUUUUUUAAAUUUUAUCAAUAAAAAAUAAAGACAACUUUCAACAACGGAUCUCUUGGCUCUUGCAUCGAUGAAGAACGCAGUGAAAUGCGAUACGUAAUGUGAAUUGCAGAAUUCCGUGAAUCAUCAAAUCUUUGAACGCAAAUUGCACUCCUUGGUAUUCCGAGGAGUAUGCUUGCUUGAGGGUCGAAUCAUAUUAUCGUUUUUUAACGGAUCUGGGUUUUUCCAAGUUUUUUUAAACCUUGGUAACCUAAAAUUUAUCUUAAUAAUAUUUGUAAUAUUGAAAAUGUGUAUCUUACGUUCACGUGAGUUUAUUGACAAUUAUUAUGAAUUUAUUACGUCGUAUUAUUCACCCGGUUUUUUUAACGAUCGGGGCGAAAUAAUACAAUUUUUUAAAAUUCGACCUCAAGUCAAGUAAGAAUACCCGCUGAACUUAAGCAUAUCAAUAAGCGGAGGAAAAGAAACUAACAAGGAUUCCCUUAGUAACGGCGAGUGAACUGGGAAGAGCUCAAAUUUAAAAUCAUCAGGGUUUCCUUGAUGAGUUGUAAUUUGAAGAAAGUGUUUUGAUGUUCGGGUUUCAUCUAAAUCCUUUGGGAUAAGGUAUCAUAGAGGGUGAGAAUCCCGUUCGUGAUUAAACCUCGGAUGCCACUUAAUUCAUUUUCUAAGAGUCGAGUUGUUUGGGAUUGCAGCUCAAAAUGGGUGGUAAAUUUCACCUAAGGCUAAAUAUAUGCGAGAGACCGAUAGCGAACAAGUACCGUGAGGGAAAGAUGAAAAGAACCUUGAAAAGAGAGUUAAAUAGUACGUGAAAUUGUUGAAAGGGAAACGAUUGAAGUCAGUCAUGCUAGUGAGGAAUCAACUCGGUGGUUUUCUUCCGGGUGUACUUUCUCGCCUGGCAGGUUAGCAUCAAUUUCGUUCAUCAUUAAAUGAUCGGGGUAAUGUGGCUUCUCUUCGGAGUAGUGUUAUAGACCUUGGUAGAUGUGAUGAUCGGGAUUGAGGAUUGCAGCGAAUGCUAUUUGGCUAGUCCCCUGAUUUCUGAUGGUCACCUCGCCUUCGACAGCUUGCUGACGUGGGUGGGUUCUGAUUGUCUAGAUGUUAGUGUGAUCAUAUAUUCGCUAAGGAUGCUGACGUAAUGGCUUUAAACGACCCGUCUUGAAACACGGACCAAGGAG